rnacentral:rRNA from 1 species
AACGAACGCUGGUGGCAGGCUUAACACAUGCAAGUCGAACGCAUCCUUCGGGGUGAGUGGCAGACGGGUGAGUAACGCGUGGGAACGUGCCCUUCAGUUCGGGAUAACCCAGGGAAACUUGGGCUAAUACCGGAUACGUGCGAGAGCAGAAAGAUUUAUCGCUGAAGGAUCGGCCCGCGUCUGAUUAGCUAGUUGGUGGGGUAAUGGCCCACCAAGGCGACGAUCAGUAGCUGGUCUGAGAGGAUGAUCAGCCACAUUGGGACUGAGACACGGCCCAAACUCCUACGGGAGGCAGCAGUGGGGAAUAUUGGACAAUGGGCGCAAGCCCGAUCCAGCCAUGCCGCGUGAGUGAUGAAGGCCUUAGGGUUGUAAAGCUCUUUCGUCCGGGACGAUAAUGACGGUACCGGAAGAAGAAGCCCCGGCUAACUUCGUGCCAGCAGCCGCGGUAA